rnacentral:tRNA from 1 species
GGGCGGUUAGCUCAGAUGGUAGAGCAUCUCGUUUACACCGAGAAUGUCGGCGGUUCGAUCCCGUCACCGCCCACCA